UGGGGUAUCGCCAAGCGGUAAAGGCACCGGAUUCUGAUUCCGGCAUUCAGUUCAGUCCUCGUACCCCAGCCA
rnacentral:tRNA from 1 species